rnacentral:rRNA from 1 species
CGUGAGGCGGAGCAAAACACAAAACACAGUCUCAGUUCAGAUUGUAGGCUGAAACUCGCCUAUAUGAAGUCGGAAUUGCUAGUAAUCGCGGAUCAGCAUGCCGCGGUGAAUACGUUCCCGGGCCUUGUACACACCGCCCGUCACACCAUGAGAGUCGAUAACACCCGAAGCCUGUAGUCCAACAGCAAUGAGGACGCAGUCGAAGGUGGGAUUGAUAAUUAGGGUGAAGUCGUAACAAGGUAAC